AGGUGUAUGGACUUAGCAAAACCAGUCAUAAUGAUUUUUCUAUAUCAAAACCAGCCCUAACAAUUUUUAUACAACUUUUAAAUAAAAACAGUGGAAAAUACAAUAAAUAAGUCCUCUAAAUAAAGCUGUGGUAUGAAGUUUAAAUGCCCCAAGUCAGAAGUCAAUUGGAUGUCUCUGUCUGAGCUGAGAGCACAUGACAUACAACGAAACCACAUGGACAGACACAACCCCGAAUGCCAAUUCCAGUGUCCUGUGCAGUGAUGACCACACUGUUAGAAGCAUUUUAACUCUUGUUUUUACAAACUUUCUUUUUACAUAUAUGUUAGCGGUCAAAGAACUCUGUUUUUCUUGGUCCAAACCAGAGGAAAUUUAUUGUCCAAACCAGACCCACCCCAAUGCAUUUGCCUCUGAUGUGAGAAAGAAACACUAGGGCUUCAACCAGAUGAGGGGCGUUUAGGAAAACCCACAGCUGAAGUCACAUUCAAUGCGGAACACUGGGCACCUCCCCCUAAGGUCAGGAACAAGACGAGGGUGUCCGCUCUUAUUCCUUUCAGCCUCGGCACUGAUGGUCCUAGGGCAACUCUAUGUUGACGCCUCUGAGGAACUGCCGGGCUGCAGUGAAUCCAGGUGACCUCACAGAAACUUGUAUGUGAGCAUUCGCAGCGGCAUCAUUCACAGUGGCCAGGAGGUGGAAACAACCCCGAUGUCCAUCAACUGAUGAACCAACCGAUGAACACAGGGUGACCUGUCCAUACAGUGGGGUCUCAGCCACAGAGGGAGCAAGGCCGUGAAACCUGCAGCGGGAGCAAGGCGGUGAAACCCGCAGAGGGAGCAAGGCCGUGAAACCCGCAGCGGGAGCAAGGCAGUGAAACCCUCAGAGGGAGCAAGGCCGUGAAACCCGCAGCGGGAGCGAGGCGCGGAAACAGGCCAUGACACGGACGAGCCACACCAUGGAUGACCCCACGGACACGCCACCAAAGCACCAUCAUGCUGAGUGACAGAAGCCAGGCACCCAGACCAUGCACCGUAUGAUUCCUUUCACGUGAAAUUUCCAGAACAGGGAAAUGCAGAGCGACAGAAAGCAGGGUCAGGCCCCGUUCGGAGAGAUUGCCAUGGUUCUGAGAAACGCAUCAUUUGGUGACUGGUCAUCAUGCAAACAUCCUUGAGCGCACUCACACAACCUGGAGGAUGUAGCUCACUGGAUGCCCAGGCUACGUGGAGUAGCCCAUUGCUCUGGGGCUACACACCCAUACAUCGUGUUACUGUGCUGAAUACACUAGGCAACUGUGAUACAAUGGAGAUCACAGAAGGCCAACAAAGAGGCCUGGGGCACGUCAACGUGGUCCUCAUCGGACUGGCCAAUGGUUCCUUCCUAACUCAACCAAGGGCCACUGCGCCACCGCAGCUGUGGGACCGUAUCUCUGGAUGAUAAGCUGAGUCCAACACAAACACAACAGAACCCAAAAGAAUGCCCAGAAUGCCAAGAACAGUGAACAGCCAUACGCAAACGGGCAAUACUGAUGUUAGCUUUAAAAGUAAGGAGUUCAGAGUGCUCUGUGCUGAACAUCUUUCGGUGUAAUUAAGCCUUCAUAUUCCUGAGGAGGAGCUACUAAGACACCCUACCAAGUCCUGGGCUGUGCCUGGAGGUUAGAAAACGAACCACAUAGUCCUGUAAUGACAGAAAAAAUUGAAAACUGUAUUUUAAAAAUGAUUUCUCAACAAGACCAGCCGGCCACUCAACCACUUCAGUACCUCGUUUCUGGAUGAAGACCCUGAGCAGGGGAUUUGCACUAGAAACCGCCUUGCAGAAGUUGUCAUCAUUGUUGAUGGGCAGCAGGUCUCCGUGCACAUCUGCAUAGCCAAUAGUUACAUCACUGUUGGAGAUAUGGUGGGUGUGCACAACCAGCUUGUAGAAAUCUUCAAACUUCCCAGGCUUAUGACGGUCCAGAGAGAACCUUCGGAAUUCCGCCCCAAACUACAAUGCAAGAGACGGGGUGGGGGGAGGGGCAUUAAUAAAUACCAGAGAAAUAUCCAG
ensembl:lncRNA novel transcript, antisense to PARD6G